GCCCUAGUAGCUUAGCCACUAAAGCGC
rnacentral:tRNA from 1 species